rnacentral:rRNA from 1 species
GACGAACGCUGGCGGCGUGCUUAACACAUGCAAGUCGAACGGAAAGGCCCUGCUUUUGUGGGGUGCUCGAGUGGCGAACGGGUGAGUAACACGUGAGUAACCUGCCCUUGACUUUGGGAUAACUUCAGGAAACUGGGGCUAAUACCGGAUAGGAGCUCCUGCUGCAUGGUGGGGGUUGGAAAGUUUCGGCGGUUGGGGAUGGACUCGCGGCUUAUCAGCUUGUUGGUGGGGAAGUGGCUUACCAAGGCUUUGACGGGUAGCCGGCCUGAGAGGGUGACCGGCCACAUUGGGACUGAGAUACGGCCCAGACUCCUACGGGAGGCAGCAGUGGGGAAUAUUGCACAAUGGGCGGAAGCCUGAUGCAGCAACGCCGCGUGCGGGAUGACGGCCUUCGGGUUGUAAACCGCUUUCGCCUGUGACGAAGCGUGAGUGACGGUAAUGGGUAAAGAAGCACCGGCUAACUACAUG